rnacentral:ncRNA from 1 species
UUAUCACCCCGCGGGUGCCCGAAGCAUCGGGCUGAGAUUAUGCGCUGUCGCUGCGUUGGACCGUCCGAACCUGUCUGGUUAACACCAGCGAAGGAAGCGAGGACCACGUCACUGU